rnacentral:lncRNA from 1 species
UUGAUGAUUUAAAUGACUUUGUUUAUAAACUUAAAAGAUGACAAAAUAAAUACGAUCAUUUUAAAAAAGUUAUUGUGUGAACAUGGAAACAAGUUCACAGAAGAAGAGUUUAAAAAAUUUCUUGUUGAUGUUCCAGUAGACGACGAUGGGAACAUAAGCCACUCUGAUUUCAUUGAAACCUUUUCUAAGUACGUCGAAUACUAAAAACAAAAUACACAGUCGUCAGGAAUAAAAAAUUAAAAAUAAGAAAAAAACA